ensembl:lncRNA
GGGGUGUCUGUGGGGUGAGUCUGUGGGGUGUCUGUGGGGUGAGUCUGUGGGGUGUCUGUGGGGUGAGUCUGUGGUGUGAGUCUGUGGUGUGAGUCUGUAGUGAGUCUGUGGUGUGAAUCUGUGGGGUGAAUCUGUGGGGUGAGUCUGUGGGGUGAGUCUGUGUGUGUGGUGGUUACUUGUGGCUCUGUGGUGUGAGUCUGUGGUGAGUCUGUGUAGUGAGUCUGUGGUGUGAGUCUGUGGUGUGAAUCUGUGGUGUGAGUCUGUGGGGUGAGUCUGUAGUGAGUCUGUGUGUGGUGGUUACUUGUGGCUCUGUGGUGUGAGUCUGUAGUGAGUCUGUGGUGUGAGUCUGUGUUGAGUCUGUGGUGUGAGUCUGUAGUGAGUCUGUGGUGUGAGUCUGUGUGUGGUGGUUACUUGUGGCUCUGUGGUGUGAGUCUGUGGUGUGAGUCUGUGGUGUGAGUCUGUGGUGAGUCUGUAGUGAGUCUGUGGUGUGAGUCUGUGUGUGGUGGUUACUUGUGGCUCUGUGGUGUGAGUCUGUGGUGUGAGUCUGUGUGUGUGGUGGUUACUUGUGGCUCUGUGGUGUGAGUCUGUAGUGAGUCUGUGGUGUGAGUCUGUGUGUGGUGGUUACUUGUGGCUCUGUGGUGUGAGUGGUGGUUACUUGUGGCUCUGUGGUGUGAGUCUGUAGUGAGUCUGUGGUGUGAGUCUGUGUGUGUGGUGGUUACUUGUGGC